CCUAAAUUAUUAAUAGAUAUAAUCUUUAAAUUUGAAGAAUUUGGCGGUGGUUUAGUCUUGUUAGAGGAACCUGUUUUUGGAUCGAUAAACCACGUAGAAUUUUACUUAUUUUAUUAGUUUGUAUACCGUCAUUAUCAGAUGAUUUUUAAAGAAUUAAUCAUUAAAAUUUUUUUUGAAAAUUAAAUUAGAUCAAGGUGCAGCUUAUGAAUAAGUUAAAAUGGGUUACAAUAGAAUUUAUCUAUACGGAGUAAUAGUAGGAAGUAUCUAUAUGAAGGUGGAUUUAAUUGUAAUAGAAAUUUAAUAAGUUUAAAAGAUAUAAGCUCUAGAUCAU
rnacentral:rRNA from 1 species